UGAGGACAAUGUUCUCAAUCAGUCUACAUUACAGAUUUAAGCCAGCCUUCUGACCAUAAGUGGGAGUUAUAAACAAGCCCAAUUUUUUUUUAAGAGUUACAUUCCGCAGUGAGUAAUCUAAUUACAUAACCACAUGCAUGAAAAGUAUCCGUUCCUGUUCUUAAGUAUCUGUUCCUGGACACUCCUUGGAAUUCAGAGUAUGAAAAGGAAGUCUUGAAAAACUUUUGAUCAACAGGCUCAUGAUCUCAAGCUUUGUUUAACCGGAGAAAAGGAACAUGGACAACAUUUGGAUAGAUAAUAAUAAUGUUUAACUGAGUCAGUGUGAACUGAAAGUGCAUCUAUGCAAUAACUAGUCGAGUUUUACUAAAGAGCACUAUCCUACGAACCCUAUCCAGUGUGAGGACAAUGCAGAGGCCAAUUCAUAUGUAGUAGUUUAUGAAACUGACAGCUACCAUUACUCACAAGAUGCACUGGUUUCAUUGCAGUGUGAGGAUGACCAAUUUGGUUUCAAUGCGGUCGUGGUCAUCGAAGAGGUGUCUUUUCCUUUACGGAGAUGUACUCCAUUUCUAAGCUAUAACAGACCAAACAACCUUGCAGAAGCAGACAGAGGUCUGUCUGGAAAUAAUGGAGAAAUGUUGGAUCUGGUGGCAGUAAAUGAACAAUAUUUUCCAAACUUCACUCCAAGACCAUCUGACCAUGUGCAUCUACCUCAUACAUAUCCUAGUGUGAACAACUACCUCACUCAAGAAAUAUUGGAUCUGGUGGCAGUAGAAGAACAAUAUUUUCCAAACUUCACUCCAAGACCAUUUGACCAUGUGCAUCUACCUCAUACAUAUCCUAGUGUGAACAACUACAUCACUCAAGAUAUGGAGCCCUCAGGACUGAUCGAGCGUUGGUAUGAAGAACUGAACAUGGUGGACGAUGACAAACAGGAUCGGGAGGAAGAAUGAAUUAAAGUGGAGUGAUGUUGCUUGAGCAUCAGCAUACCUGAACAACACAGACAGCAAAAUUAUGUUCAUCAGCAAAGAAAGGGGGUCAGGAAGUGGUGGUUGUCACACAACAGCGUGCUGAUGUCACGCAGGACAUCAUGUUAAACGUUUUACCAUAUCAAACACAUACUAUAGCCUUCCUAUUUUCUUUGCUUCCUGCUCCUGUGUUGUUUGUAACAUUCCUGUAAAUAAU